UUCCUUGUUGAUGCAUAAACCCUCCUAACGUUCCUCCAUGUACUAGGUCCUUUCCUAAGGCUAGAUACACGAGAAAUUUCUGUCUUCAAAAAUUACUCCAAAAAAUCCUCUCCUUUUGUUUUCCUAAAGAUAUCUUUUUCCAUUUUGGCUCCCUCUCCCAAGUCCAAACGGCUUUUUUUUCCUAUACCUACAAAAAGAUCUCUCCCUUUAUUGGAGAAGGGGUCAGAGACAGAAGAAAAAGAAAAGAUGAUAUUGUUCAUCAUUUUUUUUACCAACUCUUAUUGCUUCUCUAUUGAUUUCAACCAUCCUUUAACCUCCCUUAUCGCUGUUUACCACUUCAUUCUCUAUUCUCACCUUUCUCGGGCACGGUUUACACAUAUCAUAUUUCUCUUAGAAUUAGAGAAAGCGUCGGGAUGAUUGGAGUUGGCAACACGGCUCGUCCUCCAGCUAUGAACUCGGUUCUCUCAUAAUAUUUUCGCCUUUCAUUUUCUCAACAUGCACUGUGUAAAGAUAAAAAUAGUGGAAAGGAACAGUUGGGGCGGGGGAUUUACUGUGUGAUUAUGUGCCCUGUUGUUACUUGCUUGUAAUCAGAUUAAUUUGGUUAUAGGUUUAUUAUUAUAACGUGCUUGACUAUUUAAAUACGAAAAUGCCUAGUCUUUAGGAAAUAAGCAAAUAAAUUUUCUUUUCUGUGUGAUCUCCAUUUAAUACACAAGUAACAGAUUUUGGCUUCUUCAAUAUAUAUUUAGGUUUCCUUUUCGAGAUUUUACAUCCAAGUGCAUAUGUUUUAUAUCUUAAAUCAUUUUCACAGGCAUUUAAUCUCAUCUGAUCCUAUUUCACAGUCCGAAAAUAGCUAUUCUCUUUUUUCCACCUUACUAUCCUACUGCACUUAUAUCUAACCAUUAUGUCCUCCCAAUAACGUACUUACAUUUUGCUAUCCUUAGAUCUAACAGUUAUAGUAUUUACACUUGACCAUUCGCUUUUACACCUAAUAUUUAUACUAUCUUAUACUUUAGUUUUAAUGUUAUAUUAUUUUAUCACGUUUUUCAUUUCAUCAUUUUACUAUCCAAUCACUUUAUAUUUUUUAGAUCUGGUCACGUCAUCGCGUUAUUUUAAUCAUAUCUUAACCCGAAGGCAAUUGUGAACCCUUAGUCAUUAUGUGCUUAUUUUGAUCAAGAAUUUUUUUUACUUCAUUAUUUGAAUUUUCUCUUGAUUAGUUAAACAUUAAGAACAAACAUAUUCUCACCACCCUUUGCAUACUUUUUUUUUACAUGUGCAAUACAAUGGAGUGGCGUCGCUUGGAGUUCAACCACAACAUACAACGGAGUUAACGCAAGUGGAGUCGUCACCCCAAGCGGACCAGAGAUGCUGGUGACUAGGAAGACUACGGCUAGUCAGAAAGGUAACACGCCAUCGGGCGAGAGGACCAGCAGGGCACCCCAGCAGAUGGGGCCCAGUCUGAGUCUCAGGGUGAGACCCCUUCCCAGCCAUCGCCGACUCCUCCACCACCCGAGGAGCUUCCGAGAGAGGCAGCACCUCCGGUAACCCCUCCUGCGCCGAUUGAUCAAGAUAUCAGGAGUGCGGUGCAGCUACUGACGCAGAUAGUGGCUACUAGGGAAACAGCGAGAGUACCGGCUGGUGCAGGGUCUUCUGAGGGGCCCGGUAGUUCGAGAGCUUCUGGCAUUAAAGCCUCUAGAGUACACAAGGACCAGGCGGGAUGAGGACCUGCAGAAUUUUAUUGAUCAGCUCCACCGGAUUUUCAAAGUGAUGCAUGCUUCGGAGACCGAGGCAGUGGAGUUAGUGCUUUCAGGCUUCGAGAUAUAGCUGUUGUC